GUCUUCAAAUGCGUCAUUGUUUCUAUGGAUAGUCAAUAUAAAAUAUAUAGUAAAUAAAAAUUAUGAAGAGAAUCCGACUAAAAUUUGCCCACUCACAGUUUUCCCGAUUGGAGUUGCAGAAGUGUCACCCGAAUGCAAGCUAAACGAUAGCAUCCGAAAUUAUAAUAAAUUUAAUUCCGCAAAACUGGUGGGAGUAAAGGGAGAGUUAGGUAGCCAUUUUAACAAAUAUACCGAAGAGCGUGAAACCCGCGGAGUGGCAACAGGGGCGCAGGUCGAUAAAAUGAAACUGUACAACCUUCUGCUCGCCAGAAAAUGGAAAAUCAACUAAAUACUAGAGACUGGAAUCCCGGGAAAUAAAGAUCGGAAUUGCGAGCCCUUUUAGACGAACGCACGCGGUUAAGAACGUUCUCAACAAAACAUGUUCUGCAGUGCAUUUGCCAGAUCUCAACAGGUGCCACAAAUGUUCUAUGAGGUUGAAUAUGCAAUGGAUAUAAGGAAGACAAUAUGAAGAAAGAUGUAAACAUAAUGCUUCAUCUGUUCAGGUAUAC